rnacentral:tRNA from 1 species
GAGAGAUGGCCGAGUGGUUUAAGGCACCGGUCUUGAAAACCGGCAAGGGUAUCCCCCUUCGCGAGUUCGAAUCUCGCUCUCUCC